AUUGUAAAGAUGCUGUACAGAGGGGUUACAGUUACAUGAGUAAGGUAAUGAGUACAUUUCUUUUUGGACAAUAUCACCUCUUCCUUUAC